rnacentral:rRNA from 1 species
UACGGAGGGUGCAAGCGUUGUUCGGAAUCACUGGGCGUAAAGGGCGCGCAGGCGGUUUGUUAAGUCAGAUGUGAAAGCCCACGGCUCAACCGUGGAAGUGCAUUUGAAACUGGCAGACUUGAGUAUCAGAGGGGAAAGUGGAAUUCCUGGUGUAGAGGUGAAAUUCGUAGAUAUCAGGAGGAAUACCAGUGGCGAAGGCGACUUUCUGGCUGAAUACUGACGCUGAGGCGCGAAAGCGUGGGGAGCAAACAGG